UACGGAGGGUGCAAGCGUUGCUCGGAAUUAUUGGGCGUAAAGGGCGGGUAGGUGGUCUCAUUUGUCUGGGGUGAAAUCCUUGGGCUUAACUCAAGAAGUGCCCCAGAAACGGUGAGACUAGAGUACUGGAGAGGGUCGUGGAAUUCCCGGUGUAGCGGUGAAAUGCGUAGAGAUCGGGAGGAACACCAGAGGCGAAGGCGGCGACCUGGACAGUAACUGACACUCAACUGCGAAAGCGUGGGGAGCAAACAGG
rnacentral:rRNA from 1 species